CUGUGACCACUGCUGGAUCCGUACUCUGGUCUGAAUCCUCGAGAUUUGUGUUUAAAACCACCAUUCUUGUUGUUUCUACUUCUUCUUCUGUAAUGACUUUACCUCCACUAUCUGUGAUACCCAUGUAGGGAACACCUGAAGAACCCUCUUCUCUAUUCUUCUCUACACUUCUAUUGUCAUCUACUGUAUAGCUGAUUUCAAUCUGUCGAGCUCGAUUAACUACCACAUUGAAAGACUGAUCAGAUAUGAUGGCCAGAUUUGCAUACUUCCUGUCCAACCCCUUUAG
rnacentral:misc_RNA from 1 species